GCAUAUCAAUAAGCGGGAGGAAAAGAAACCAACAGGGAUUGCCUUAGUAGCGGCGAGUGAAGCGGCAAAAGCUCAAAUUUGAAAUCUGGCACUUUCAGUGUCCGAGUUGUAAUUUGAAGAAGGUAUCUUUGGGUCUGGCUCUUGUCUAUGUUUCUUGGAACAGAACGUCACAGAGGGUGAGAAUCCCGUGCGAUGAGAUGUCCCAGACCUAUGUAAAGUUCCUUCGAAGAGUCGAGUUGUUUGGGAAUGCAGCUCUAAGUGGGUGGUAAAUUCCAUCUAAAGCUAAAUAUUGGCGAGAGACCGAUAGCGAACAAGUACAGUGAUGGAAAGAUGAAAAGAACUUUGAAAAGAGAGUGAAAAAGUACGUGAAAUUGUUGAAAGGGAAGGGCUUGAGAUCAGACUUGGUAUAUUGUAUGUUACUCUCUCGGGGGUGGCCUCUACAGUUUACCGGGCCAGCAUCAGUUUGAGCGGUAGGAUAAGUGCAAAGAAAUGUGGCACUGCAUCGGUAGUGUGUUAUAGUCUUUGUCGAUACUGCCAGCUUAGACUGAGGACUGCGGCUUCGGCCUAGGAUGUUGGCAUAAUGAUCUUAAGUCGCCCGUCUUGAAACACGGA
rnacentral:rRNA from 1 species